rnacentral:rRNA from 1 species
UACGUAGGGGGCAAGCGUUAUCCGGAUUUACUGGGUGUAAAGGGGGCGCAGACGGCGAUGCAAGCCAGGAGUGAAAGCCCGGGGCCCAACCCCGGGACUGCUCUUGGAACUGCGUGGCUGGAGUGCAGGAGGGGCAGGCGGAAUUCCUGGUGUAGCGGUGAAAUGCGUAGAUAUCAGGAGGAACACCGGUGGCGUAGGCGGCCUGCUGGACUGCAACUGACGUUGAGGCCCGAAAGCGUGGGGAGCAAACAGG